UGGGGAAUCUUCCGCAAUGGACGAAAGUCUGACGGAGCAACGCCGCGUGAGUGAAGAAGGCCCUCGGGUCGUAAAGCUCUGUUAUCGGGGAAGAACACUUUCCAUGUGAAUAAUGUGGGAAGAUGACGGUACCCGAGGAGGAAGCCACGGCUAACUACGUGCCAGCAGCCGCGGUAAUACGUAGGUGGCGAGCGUUGUCCGGAAUUAUUGGGCGUAAAGCGCGCGUAGGCGGGAUAAUAAGUCUACUCUAAAAGUUCGGAGCUUAACUUCGAAAAGGGGUGGAAACUGAUAUUCUUGAGUGCCGGAGAGGAAAGCGGAAUUCCCAGUGUAGCGGUGAAAUGCGUAGAUAUUGGGAGGAACACCAGUGGCGAAGGCGGCUUUCUGGACGGUGUCUGACGCUGAGGCGCGAAAGCCAGGGGAGCGAACG
rnacentral:rRNA from 1 species